rnacentral:tRNA from 1 species
GCCCGUGUAGCUCAGUGGAACAGAGCGCCCGGUUGACUACCUGGGGGGUCGCACGGUUCGAAUCCGGCCACGGGCUCCA